CGGUGUGCCCUGAUGACUGCAUAGUUCAUUUGAGAAAUAAUGAAAACAGCAAAUAUGUCUUUCGCUCCUAUCUGAGCUCACCU
rfam:Steinernema glaseri strain NC unplaced genomic scaffold GLAS_1195, whole genome shotgun sequence.